GUGGGGAAUUUUGGACAAUGGGCGCAAGCCUGAUCCAGCAAUGCCGCGUGCAGGAAGAAGGCCUUCGGGUUGUAAACUGCUUUUGUACGGAACGAAACGGUCCGGGUUAAUACCCUGGGCUAAUGACGGUACCGUAAGAAUAAGCACCGGCUAACUACGUGCCAGCAGCCGCGGUAAUACGUAGGGUGCAAGCGUUAAUCGGAAUUACUGGACGUAAAGCGUGCGCAGGCGGUUUUGUAAGACAGGCGUGAAAUCCCCGGGCUCAACCUGGGAAUUGCGCUUGUGACUGCAAGGCUGGAGUGCGGCAGAGGGGGAUGGAAUUCCGCGUGUAGCAGUGAAAUGCGUAGAUAUGCGGAGGAACACCGAUGGCGAAGGCAAUCCCCUGGGCCUGCACUGACGCUCAUGCACGAAAGCGUGGGGAGCAAACAGGAUUAGAAACCCCGGUAGUCC
rnacentral:rRNA from 1 species